rnacentral:lncRNA from 1 species
AUCUGUUAAGCACAUUGGAUCACUCCCACUGCUCCUUGAAAACCCCACCACUUACCACGUGGCCACUCCCCAUUCCAACCAUCACAUCACAAAAAUCCUUACCAUGCACCAUUACUUCAAGAAAAAGGACGACAUCUUCCAUUAUCAAACACCCAUAGCCACAACUCCCAGCCAACUUGCUUUUCAAAAACUCUCUUCCCCGAAGAUGGUAAGAAAAGACUCUUUAGAGCCACCCAC